rnacentral:tRNA from 1 species
GCAUUAGUAGCUCAGCGUCACGAGCAUCGGUCUUGUAAACCGAAUGUCGAAGGUUAAACUCCUUCCUAUUGCU